rnacentral:rRNA from 1 species
UACGUAGGGUGCAAGCGUUGUCCGGAAUUAUUGGGCGUAAAGAGCUCGUAGGCGGUCUGUCGCGUCGGCUGUGAAAUCCCGGAGCUCAACUCCGGGUCUGCAGUCGAUACGGGCAAACUGGAGUACUGCAGGGGAGACUGGAAUUCCUGGUGUAGCGGUGAAAUGCGCAGAUAUCAGGAGGAACACCGGUGGCGAAGGCGGGUCUCUGGGCAGUAACUGACGCUGAGGACGAAGAACGUGGGGAGCGAACAGGAUUAGAACCUACCGUAGU